rnacentral:rRNA from 1 species
AGAGUUUGAUCAUGGCUCAGGAUGAACGCUAGCGGCAGGCUUAAUACAUGCAAGUCGAGGGGCAGCAGGGGUGUAGCAAUACACUCGCUGGCGACCGGCAAACGGGUGCGGAACACGUACGCAAUCUACCCAAAACUGGGGAAUAGCCCGGGGAAACCCGGAUUAAUACCUCGUAAGGUUAAGAAGUGGCAUCACUUUUUGACUAUAGCUCCGGCGGUUUUGGAUGAGCGUGCGGCUGAUUAGAUAGUUGGCGGGGUAACGGCCCACCAAGUCUGCGAUCAGUAACUGGUGUGAGAGCACGACCAGUCACACGGGCACUGAGACACGGGCCCGACUCCUACGGGAGGCAGCAGUAAGGAAUAUUGGUCAAUGGACGCAAGUCUGAACCAGCCAUGCCGCGUGGAGGAUGAAGGCCCUCUGGGUUGUAAACUUCUUUUAUGGGGGACGAAACCUCUUUUUCUAAAGAGACUGACGGUACCCUAGGAAUAAGCACCGGCUAACUCCGUGCCAGCAGCCGCGGUAAUACGGAGGGUGCAAGCGUUAUCCGGAUUCACUGGGUUUAAAGGGUGCGUAGGAGGGCAGGUAAGUCAGUGGUGAAAUCUCCGAGCUUAACUCGGAAACUGCCGUUGAUACUAUCUGUCUUGAAUACCGUGGAGAUGAGCGGAAUAUCAUGUAGCGGUGAAAUGCUUAGAUAUGACAUAGAACACCAAUUGCGAAAGCAGCUCGUUACACGAAUAUUGACUCUGAGGCACGAAAGCGUGGGGAUCGAACAGGAUUAGAUACCCUAGUAGUCC